CGCGGGAUGGAGCAGUUGGCAGCUCGUCGGGCUCAUAACCCGAAGGUCGUAGGUUCAAAUCCUACUCCCGCAACCA
rnacentral:tRNA from 1 species